rnacentral:lncRNA from 1 species
AGCACAAAUGGAGGAGUUGAUUAAUCUUACUGGAAUUGUCAACUUGAUGAGCCAGCAGCUCACUGAUUUGUGCGAAGCUAGAGACAGCCUCUGAUACAUCUACCAACCCUUCUCCAUCCCCACCUCAUAGCACCAAUGAGCAGAGUAUCUAGAUGGUGUUGCUGACUUUCUAUUAUCUAUUUUUUUUUCUAUGAAGAAACUGAAGAUAUAAUAAUUAUAAUCUUUUGUGUUUAGUUUGAACUUUGUUAUGUCAUUGGAUUUCACAUCUGUUUCAUAUUAUGUUUUCUACUAGUAAUGAAUGUUAUGUUUCCAUUAUGUUCCAAGAAUUUCAGUUUUAUAUUUAUGAUUUUAUAGCUUUUAAAUACAAAACAUUUUGUAACCAAAUUUGCCGUAGCUAAUCUGAAUCCAAAUUUUUAGAUACAAAACUUCUGUAACCUAAUUCGUAGCUUCACUGGCGAUAACUCUGCUUAGGAAAAGUUGUUGCUAAGCUCUGUAGCUACAUAGCUAUACUUAAUCUAUUGCUAAAACUGUUGCUAAUUUGCAACAGAAAACUUAGUAGCCAUGUUGUAGCUAAUAGCUACAGCUCGUACUCUCGCUCAUCCGUCGCGAGUGAGCUACGGCAUAGCGACGGAUUGGAGUUAGCGUGGACGCUGACGCCACGGUUUCAGUCCGUAGCCAUCUGUCGCGUGCUGUGGUUUAGCUACAGAUUAUCUUCUCUAGCGAUGAAUAAAUCGGUAGCUAUUUAAUUGAUUUCUUGUAGUGUACGAAAAUAUAUAUAUAGAAGAAGAUACAAAUACAUGUGCAAGUUUGAAACAAUCUAUUCAAUGAAAAAAAUAUACCAUAAACUUAUUUUGUUUUUAAAAUUGAUAGACAAAUAUAUAUAUUAUAAUAUAUACCAAUUUAGAAUUGAAAACAAAAUGUUUUUAUAAAAAUAAAUCAAAACAAAAAUCUGCGCGGUUGCGGGGGUCGAGUUCUAGCAUGUUUUUGAGCUUCUCGAGCAGUAUUGCAUGUUAACAUAUCUCAUCUAAAAUUUUUACGCAUCCGCGAGUAUGUGUAUUUUCUAGUUUCUACGUUCCAGCAGUUUCGAUAUGUGAAACAAGCAAAUGAAGAGCAAAAACUGUUGAGAAAAUCUUUAGUUAAUAAUUAUUCGGCACUCAAUCGUACUGUAUAGAUCACAUAUAUUGCAUAUUUCAUGAAGGACCAUGCAUGGUACCCACCUCUUUGUUCUUUCUUUUAUAUGAAGAAAUUUGAGUGUACUAGUCGAUCGUGGCCUACGUACAAACUCUAUGGGCAGAAAUAAUGCAGCACCAAUAAAAAAAUUUUCUAAACCGAAGUUUUGUGUUCCACAUGAUGUGAGGUUUAUAUAGGUACGUGGCAUGGAACGUGAUGUAUCUAGUGACAAUAAUCUUCGGUAUUUAGGUGCAGAAACAAAAUGACACAUUUUUUUUUUGAGAAAACAAAAUGACACAUUUGUUAGGACUUAGUACAUACAUAGCUUUUUAGGUUUAUAAACAUCUCAACCUAAUGAUGUUAAAAACAUCUCAACCUAAUUUCUUUUAGUAAAAAUAAAAAAUAUCUAUAGUUAAGAAAUGGAUAUACAUAUUUAAGACUAUAAAAUGUUCAUUAACAUAAUCAAUAAAUAAACAGAUAUUCACCUUAAUUAAAGCUGGAACGGACAAUGGCCAUUGUGGCAGGUCCCAGUUCAAAUGACUAUUGAAACGAAAUUAAUAUUACAUGUUAUGGUUUUAGGUCUGGGAGAUUACGGGCUCACUAUAAGAAUUCAUCAAAAUAGUUACAGAUUGGCGAAAGAAAUUCCGUAGCCAAAUUCAUUAGCUAUAGAUAUAGCGAUAGAACGCAAAAUUUUAAUUUUGUAGUUAAUUGUAGCAAUCCGUAGCGCUAUAUAGCUAGAGAUUGAUUUUGUUGUUGAUCUAUAGCUAAAUAGCUACGCUUUGGCUAUGGAUAAGUGGUUGCUAUAAUUGUUCUAUAUAACCGUCAUUAGCUACGAUUGUUUCUAUUGCUAUAUAGCAACGAUGUCUCUAUCCUCACCAUUCCGUCCGCUUUGAUAACAAUACUAUAUAUUAUAAAUAAUCAAGAUAAUCAAAAUUAUAAUAUUUCAUAUAUAUACAUAUGAAUAUAUAAAAAUGUUAUAUCAUCAAUUAAUAUUUUCAAUACAAAUACAAAUUAUGAUUUAAUAUAUUUUUUAAUCCACAUGUAUUAAACCAUAUUAGUGUAAUGGAAGUAAAGAGUAGAUGCAUUUGUUGGUUUAAGUUUAGUCACUCAUAGUAAUUAUCAAGCAUUUUUUGUUAGGUUUGCAUUGAACAUUAUUGCUCGAUGUACAUAACUAGUUCUAAGUGUAUAUUAAUUGUGUUAUUGAUCAUUUUAUGUAAUGAGGUCAAUAGUGGUUCUUCUUUCAUCACUUUUGUCAAAUACAUGUUUUAAUUCUUUUACUCCAAAACUAGUUUAAGCCUUGUAACAAGAAAAAGUAAUUCAUAAGACAAAUUAUUGAGUUAUCAAGGAUCCAAAACGUAACGUAUGGUUGUAUGCACGCAUGUCUUUAGUAGAUCUCCUAAAAAAAAUGAUUUCGCUUUGGUAUGGUUAUAAUAAGUAACAAAAUUUCAUAUUUAUUUUCUUUUGGUAAGUAAAGUUCUGAAAACGUUGUAGAAGUUCUUUAUAGAAGUUUUAUUUUUGGAUGAUACAUAUAUGCCUAAUUCCUUUUCCAAUCUAACACGAGUAACUUUCUAAACCCUAAAUCUAAACUCCAAACCCUAAACCCUAUCUAUCAUCGCAUAUAUUAAAGAACAAAAACAAACUAAUUGUGUAUUUCAAUAAAUUAAAAAAUAAAAUCAUACCUAGUAUACUUUCAUCCUUUAUCAAAUUAUUAUGUUAUUAGGUAGAAUUGAUCAGAAUGAGUAUAUAGGAUUUAAUAAAGUAGAGUCAUAAUGUAAUCAAAUAAAUAAAUGUGGGGGGGGAAUAAAUCACCACUUACUCUAUAUCACGAGUGAUUGCCGCUUGAAAAAUAUAUUUCUGGACACCAAAAUUUUCGUGAUGGCCGCCAAAAUAUUCACCAAAAAUUUGAAUCUCCGCCAUAAAUCUUUUCCCAAAUCUCAGCCACAAUAUUUUCUUUCUAAAUCUUCUUCUCCGCCUAAACACUCCCUUCUUCUCCAGUAAAUACCCUCCCAAUCUAUUCUCCUCUCCUACAAAUUAACAGAGCCUCUCUCAAUAUAUCAAUUUUCAUUUCCAAAAUCUUUUGCAACAGGUUCUUCUUCACUUUUGAUAAUUGUAUUUGUUUAUAUCGUGAAAUAAAUUUUGGGCGACUUUCUCAUCACUGUGUUUCAUUCAGUUUAGAGUUUAUGUUUCCAAUCGAUUUUGGGGUUUUUAUUUCGAAAUCGAAUGGGGGUUUAGUCCCUGCCUUCUCAUAUCUUCUUUUUAUUUGUUUUGGACAAAGUUUGAAACUUUGAAUGAUGUUUUAUCUCAGGGUUUGUUCUAAAUCCAAGAAAAAGAAAUCAGAACGUGGUGGAGAUGGUAUACAUCAACACAUCUCAGGUUCCAAAUCUUUUGCCAAGGUCAAAUAUGAUAUGGUAUAAUAAACUUAUCCUUAUUGUUUUUUUGUGUCUCUAUAUUUCUCUUAUGAGUCUUUAAUCCAUCUGCCUUAUGUAUAUAGUGAUGGAGUUGGGUGAGGAGCCAGCUAUCACUGACUUUAACUCAGAAACAUCAAUCACACCAGAUGCGGCAUUUUACACGGCAGAUGUCGGAUUAUUUUGUUCAUGGUUCUAUUGCUUCAGUUUUUAAUGCUUAUUGGUAAAUUAAUGAUUGAUUAGUAUUUUUUUUUUGUUAUGGCUAUGCGGUAGUGUUAUGUUUCAUUGUAAGUGUAGUAAUUUUGUUUCUUGUUUUUCUGGUUUUGUAGGUGGUCAAGCCACACAAAGGAAGGUUGUUUGAACUUGGAACAGCACAAAUGGAGGAGUUGAUUAAUCUUACUGGAAUUGUCAACUUGAUGAGCCAGCAGCUCACUGAUUUGUGCGAAGCUAGAGACAGCCUCUGAUACAUCUACCAACCCUUCUCCAUCCCCACCUCAUAGCACCAAUGAGCAGAGUAUCUAGAUGGUGUUGCUGACUUUCUAUUAUCUAUUUUUUUUUCUAUGAAGAAACUGAAGAUAUAAUAAUUAUAAUCUUUUGUGUUUAGUUUGAAC